AACGAACGCUGGCGGCAGGCCUAACACAUGCAAGUCGAACGGGCAUAGCAAUAUGUCAGUGGCAGACGGGUGAGGAACACGUGGGAACAUGCCCUUUGGUUCGGAAUAACUCAGGGAAACUUGAGCUAAUACCGGAUAAGCCCUUAUGGGGAAAGAUUUAUCGCCGAAGGAGUGGCCCGCGUCCGAUUAGCUAGUUGGUGAGGUAACGGCUCACCAAGGCGACGAUCGGUAGCUGGUCUGAGAGGAUGAUCAGCCACAUUGGGACUGAGACACGGCCCAAACUCCUACGGGAGGCAGCAGUGGGGAAUAUUGGACAAUGGGCGCAAGCCUGAUCCAGCCAUGCCGCGUGAGUGAUGAAGGCCCUAGGGUUGUAAAGCUCUUUUGUGCGGGAAGAUAAUGACGGUACCGCAAGAAUAAGCCCCGGCUAACUUCGUGCCAGCCGCCGCGUAAAA
rnacentral:rRNA from 1 species